CCAGCAGCCGUCGUCAUCUGUUCAGGACUCUACGUCCCUCAAACACUGAACUGGUUCAGAACAACAGUAUCUGAUAAACUCAACAUGAUGUUUUUCUGGACUUUAUUUUUUAUUGUGUCACUUCAAGGAGUUUGGGCUGAGAUCAGACUGGAACAGUCUUCUCCUGAGGUAAAACGACCUGGAGAAACAGUGAAGAUGUCGUGUGUCAUAUCUGGUUACAGCAUGACAAGCUAUGAUAUUCACUGGAUACGGCAGCGACCAGGAGAAGCUCUGGUGUGGAUUGGGUGGAUGAACACAGGAACCAAUGCUGCCAUUUAUGGCAGCUCCUUCCAAGGCCGAUUCCUCAUGACGGAAAACGUUCCCAGCAGCACUCAGUACCUGGAGAUCAAGAGUCUCACAGCAGAGGAUGCUGCUGUUUACUACUGUGCUCGACAACACAUUGACUGAAGGCAGUGGAGCAGCUGCACAAAAACUACACACAAAGUAUUCCCAGUGAACGUAAAGUCUAAAAAACAACCUCCCAUCACUCACUACCAACACUCAGCACCACAGAUAUGAGUGGUUUGUUUCCAUAAUGUCCCAUGUCAUUUAUGCUGAGAAGGUUCUUGAUUAUUUUAUUAGACAACUUGACAAGUAUUUUUCAUGGAGAAUCAAAGAAUCAUCUGACAAAUCCAGACAUAAUGUUUGUUGAGAAAAAGGACUCUCACAAAAGUGACAUCAAUCAUUUUUCCAUGUCUUUAUACAAACCAUAAACAAAUCAGCACGUGACAGACUUGAACUGCAAUUUUCACAGAACUGUAAUCUGUAAUCUGAAUCUGCACAUAUCUCUGUCUAGGU